GUGAACCAUUUUUAACGGCCGCGGUAUCCUAACCGUGCAAAGGUAGCGUAAUCACUUGUCCCUUAAAUAGGGACCCGUAUGAACGGCUAAAUGAGGGUAAAUCUGUCUCCUUUAACAGAUCAGUGAAACUGAUCCGCCAGUACAAAAGCUGGCAUAUUACCAUAAGACGAGAAGACCCUGUGGAGCUUUAAAUUUAUACCAAGCAACAAUAUCACCAUAAUGGACAUGGUUAAAAAUUUUAAGUUGGGGCGACUUCGGAAAAAACUAAACUUCCGAGCAUAAGACUACGUCUUACCAAGACUUACAAGUCAAAGCUAAAACUGACCCAGUACUACUGAUAACCGAACCAAGUUACCCCAGGGAUAACAGCGCAAUCUUCUUCAAGAGUCCAUAUCGACAAGAAGGUUUACGACCUCGAUGUUGGAUCAGGACACCCAAAUGGUGCAGCCGCUAUUAAAGGUUCGUUUGUUCAACGAUUAACAGUCCCACGUGAUCUGAGUUCAGACCAGA
rnacentral:rRNA from 1 species